rnacentral:rRNA from 1 species
AGAGGGCGUGAAACCGCUUAGAAGGAAACGAGAGGCGCCGUUGUUUUUCAGCAUCAUUCAGCUGUCCGGUGCUGCUUUGUGGCGCUGGCGGUGCAUUUGUUGCUGGAUUGCAUCGAAAGCCGCUUGGGUUCUGUUGCGGGCUCGUGUAGCAAGGCACUUUUGUGUUUCUUUAUGCGUGUUCUGUGACUGCGCUUGGGCGGUUAUUGCAUCCCUACAGGAUCGGUGCUGGUUGAGCGUUGCCUCCUUGCUAUUUGCCGGUCGUUUGUCGGCUUUGGUAAGGUGGCUGUGUGAUUCCAUCCGCCGAGUAGGUGUUGUUUCGGUGUGAAAGUCGGCCAACCUCCCGACCCGUCUUGAAACACGGACCAAGGAGUCUAACAUGUGCGCGAGUCACUGGGUAUAUGACACCCGAGGGCGCAAUGAAAGUAAAGGCCGGCUCGAUCGGCUGACACACGACCCGUUCAUCCUGUGUUCGGUGCAGUGUGGUCCCAUCUUGGUCGCUUGUCGACGAGGUGGAGAUUGAGCGCAUGUGUUGGGACCCGAAAGAUGGUGAACUAUGCCUGAACAGGAUGAAGUCAGAGGAAACUCUGAUGGAAGUCCGAAGCGGUUCUGACGUGCAAAUCGA